rnacentral:lncRNA from 1 species
GUGAAGGAAAUGAACAUGAUUCAGCACAAGAGCCGAUCAGGAAUGUGGAGGCCAGACUCUCCCAUCAGGCUCCGCUCCCCUCCCGCCACCUCGGCAGAGGCCCCAGACUGCACCUGCCGGAUGGGAUCCCGUAGUGCCACAGAGCCUGGGCACCAUGCCACUCCUCUCUCCAAGAACACCACCGCCUGGCAGGCUGCCAGGAACAGCCAAGCCCUGUGGACAUCACUCCCAGAAAUCCAACCACACGGAAAGCAAACGUGCUGUGUCUCAUGACAGUACUAACAAGCCUGGUAAAUCAGCCCACAGUUGCACAGCCGUAGCUGGGGAAUCCAAGUGCUUUCUGAGGACACACUGACGACAGCAGCAGACACACACGCGUACGCACAUCUUCACGGCACACAGACUCACUAAGGUAUGCCACGAGCCUACAGGUUUUCAAUACCAUACAGUGGAUAACAGUGGUGGUGGUGGGUCUCCGCCCUCAGGAAGCACUUGACCUUAUCUGACAAACAAAAGGAACAUCAGGGAAAAACUCUGCAUGGAUUGAAUGCCUCCCAGUGUGGCAGGAACUAAGAGCCACAUGGAUCUCUGAGCUUCGGCUGACAUGCCCAGGAAGGUGGCCCUGGAAAGGUAGUAACGACCUGUCCAGUCUCCACAUCUCCAGGGAGUCUCCAGGUGUCUGUCCAUUGCUCAGCUCCACUUGAGGGGAGAGAGAGCCAGUGGAGGGCAGGAGAACUGGCAUCCAGGUCUCCAUGAGGUAUAAGCUCUCUUCUUGCAAACAGAACACCAGAAGGACGCAUCUUGGGACCCAUCCACUGAGUGCCACUGAG